AUCGUCGAAUAUCGACGUCAUAAACACCAAAGUUGAUCGUGUUUAUGACGUCGAAUAUCGACGUCAUAAACACCCAAGUUGUUCGUGUUUAUGACGUCGAAUAUCGACGUCAUAAACACCAAAGUUGUUCGUGUUUAUGACGUCGAAUAUCGACGUC